GCAGUCAUUGUAACUGGUGUAUAGUUGUGCUGGGUCUUACUAUCAUCUUACUGGUUGUCCUACUUCUGUAAAAAAGUCAUGUCAUUCCUGAGUUAUUCAGUUGGAUCGAGUCAAAUACAUUUGCUGUAUACAUUGUGCAACGAUGACAACACAAGGCACAAAAGUCAGAUGGUAUGUAAAGACCAAUUUUCUUUUUCUAAUCCUGUGGAAAUGGACAGCAUAUCUGAGCACAGCCCUACUCAUGGUGAUACAAUUUAUAUGAACCUUUAAAGAAAACAUCAGGUCAUGCAUAGACAGUUUCUUAGUUGUACUGCAUGGCUAUGCCUAGAGAAUGAUCAUGUCAAAUUUUGAUUUUAGGGAUGGAGGUUUAUAUGUUGGAAGUACUCUAGCAUCCAUACACAGAAGCAACAAGUCUUGUCCAAUAGAUGGUGCAUGCAUGCAUGCAGCUCUGCGAAGUCUUGUGGAGCGAGUCGCAGAAGACUCAGAAGAGCUAAAUAAUAUGACAAAGCAAUUUGCGGUACAGUGCACAGUAUCUUUUUGUGCAGUUGCUUAAAAUUAGCAUUUUAGGCAACAGUGUGAGACACCAUCCAAUAUGAUAUAACAAUACGGGAUUUACAGGCGA